UUUUAUGUCAAAACUUAAAAUAAACUUUACUUUGCACACGACAAUAUUGUCACAAUUCUCAAAUUUCUUUACAAUUCUCUUUACGACAUCUAUAAAUCACAAAAAUUCAAAAAAUAUUUCUUUAUAUAUUUUGUUUAUUUUCAUCAGUAAAACAAUGUAUUCAAAGAUUAUGCUGCAUGUUUUACACAAAAUUCGUUCCUCAAAUUUGGCCUCGCACUUGCACUGACACUGGCACUGGUCUCGCUCUGUCAAAAUAGAUGCGUCGCAAAAGCUCUUGGAUGGAGUUGCCUCGGUUCCUGCGUCGCAGUAGAUCUUAGCUGGAGUUACCUCGGUUCCUGCGUCGCAGUAGAUCUUAGCUGGAGUUGCCUCAGUUUCUGAAUCAUAGUAGCUCUCAGCUACUGUUAUGGUGCUCUGGGUUAUAUCGGGGGGCAUGGAGACAAGGCUGCAUAUAGUUUCUGUCGAUGCACUAUCAAUCGACUGUCCGUGGAUCAUUAAUUUGGCAUCAGUCUUCUGUACCUCAGCGAUCAACUUGGUAUCCUCCUUUCGUACUAGUUCCACGCCUCUGGUAAAUGCUUCCAGAGAAACGUCAUACAUGCUUAGGGCAUAGCACAUAUUUUCCAUAACAUGAUCGGCGGAAGGCUCCGAAUCGCUUUCAUCGUAGCUGGUUCCAACAACGGCUCCAAGACCUACCAUUGAAGUUGCAUUAUCCAGUCUCAAUCCUCUGACCGAUGUAGCCUCAUCCAUUAUAGUAUUCUUAUAUUCGCCUUGCGUGGAUAUCGAAGUGGUGUUAUUUAUGCCUUGGGACGGCAUCGAUGUUAUCUUAUCCUGUCUAUGUGGUACGUUUGAAGUUGGAGAAGACCUGAGCAGUCUAAGCGGCACCAUCCUCACUGAUUGACCCGUCUGUAUGGACUUAUCCCUAUCAUAAUGUAGAUUUAUCUUGGCCUGAGUCCGUUUCAGCAACAAAACAGGCUGGCGACAAUUCUGCCUAUAGUCCCUUCUUCCCUUAAUAGCGGACGUUGACGAUCAAGAUUCAAGUGGCCCCUACGACACCAGGACAAAGCCUGUUACGCGCGAGCCCAAGCAGAUUCCCUUCUUCCAGAUGAACUUCCUGUCGAACUUCCUGUAUCCUUUCGUAUCGCUCAUGCCGCACUCUUGGACCACCAGACCUUGAAUCCACCUCAACAAUGGUUUUGGUGCGAAUUGAACUUCUUGAAGAAGUAGCAUCCUGCCUGUUCCUUGAGCAAGUCGGUCGUUGCACCUCGUAUAACCCGGCCUGAUCUUCGGGUUCUAUUGGCACCAUAUAACCCACUACAGGCAUUUUAAUCAAAAAUCGCGUUUGAAUUGUCGAAAAAUUUGAUACAAACAAUUUUGUCAUUUUGAUUCGUCUUAAAAAUUGGAAAUAAUAUAAAUUAUAAUAAAGUAAAAUUAUUAUUUGGGA